rnacentral:lncRNA from 1 species
UACGUAAGAUACCACUUUCACAAGAACAAAAAGGUUAUAAGUGCGAAGAGCGUGCCGUGCGGUGGUUUAACUGCAAGGACGUUGACGACUUCACCCCUGGGGAUGUCUUCAGUGCUUACUGGGAGCGGCGAUGAGAAGACCAAAGUCGGCUCUACGACACCGUGCUUCUGCAUAUGACAGUCCAAACAAGAAAUGGACCAAUGUUUCAAUGCAUACGGAACAAAAAAAAA